UACGUAGGGUGCAAGCGUUAAUCGGAAUUACUGGGCGUAAAGCGUGCGCAGGCGGUUUUGUAAGACCGAUGUGAAAUCCCCGGGCUUAACCUGGGAACUGCAUUGGUGACUGCAAGGCUUGAGUGUGUCAGAGGGAGAUGGAAUUCCGCGUGUAGCAGUGAAAUGCGUAGAUAUGCGGAGGAACACCGAUGGCGAAGGCAGCCCCCUGGGAUAACACUGACGCUCAUGCACGAAAGCGUGGGGAGCAAACAGG
rnacentral:rRNA from 1 species